rnacentral:rRNA from 1 species
AUUGAACGCUGGCGGCAGGCCUAACACAUGCAAGUCGAACGGUAACAGGAAGAAGCUUGCUUCUUUGCUGACGAGUGGCGGACGGGUGAGUAAUGUCUGGGAAACUGCCUGAUGGAGGGGGAUAACUACUGGAAACGGUAGCUAAUACCGCAUAACGUCGCAAGACCAAAGAGGGGGACCUUCGGGCCUCUUGCCAGCGGAUGUGCCCAGAUGGGAUUAGCUAGUAGGUGGGGUAACGUCUCACCUAGGCGACGAUGUCUAGCUGGUCUGAGAGGAUGACCAGCCACACUGGAACUGAGACACGGUCCAGACUCCUACGGGAGGCAGCAGUGGGGAACAUUGCACAAUGGGCGGAAGCCUGAUGCAGCCAUGCCGCGUGUAUGAAGAAGGCCCUCGGGUUGUAAAGUACUUUCAGCGGGGAGGAAGGGAGUAAAGUUAAUACCUUGGCUCAUUGACGUUACCCGCAGAAGAAGCACCGGCUAACUCCGUG